rnacentral:rRNA from 1 species
CCAGCAGCCGCGGUAAUUCCUACGGGAAGCAGCAGUGGGGAAUUUUGGCACACAAUGGGCGCAAGCCUGAUCCAGCCAUGCCGCGUGAGUGAAGAAGGCCUUCGGGUUGUAAAGCUCUUUCAGCCGGGAAGAAAAAGUUGCGACCAAUAAUCGCAAUUUAUGACGGUACCGGAAGAAGAAGCACCGGCUAACUACGUGCCAGCAGCCGCGGUAAU